UAAGGAAUAUUGGUCAAUGGACGAAAGUCUGAACCAGCCAUGCCGCGUGCAGGAUGACUGCCCUAUGGGUUGUAAACUGCUUUUAUAUAGGAAGAAAAACUUUCUCGUGAGAAAGCUUGACGGUACUAUAAGAAUAAGGAUCGGCUAACUCCGCGCCAGCAGCCGCGGUAAUACGGAGGAUCCAAGCGUUAUCCGGAAUUAUUGGGUUUAAAGAGUGCGUAGGUGGUUUAUUAAGUCAGUGGUGAAAUCCUGCAGCUCAACUGUAGAACUGCCAUUGAUACUGGUAAACUUGAGUUUGGUUUAGGUAAGCGGAAUUUAUGAUGUAGCGGUGAAAUGCAUAGAUAUCAUAAGGAACACCAAUAGCGAAGGCAGCUUACUGGACCACAACUGACACUGAGGCACGAAAGCGUGGGUAGCGAACAGGAUUAGAUACCCUGGUAGUCCACGCCGUAAACGAUGGUCACUAGCUGUUCGGACUUUAUGUCUGAGUGGCUAAGCGAAAGUGAUAAGUGACCCACCUGGGGAGUACGUUCGCAAGAAUGAAACUCAAAGGAAUUGACGGGGGCCCGCACAAGCGGUGGAGCAUGUGGUUUAAUUCGAUGAUACGCGAGGAACCUUACC
rnacentral:rRNA from 1 species